UAGGGAAUCUUCCGCAAUGGACGAAAGUCUGACGGAGCAACGCCGCGUGAACGAAGAAGGCCUUCGGGUCGUAAAGUUCUGUUGUUAGGGAAGAACAAGUACCAGAGUAACUGCUGGUACCUUGACGGUACCUAACCAGAAAGCCACGGCUAACUACGUGCCAGCAGCCGCGGUAAUACGUAGGUGGCAAGCGUUGUCCGGAAUUAUUGGGCGUAAAGCGCGCGCAGGUGGUUCCUUAAGUCUGAUGUGAAAGCCCACGGCUCAACCGUGGAGGGUCAUUGGAAACUGGGGAACUUGAGUGCAGAAGAGGAAAGUGGAAUUCCAAGUGUAGCGGUGAAAUGCGUAGAGAUUUGGAGGAACACCAGUGGCGAAGGCGACUUUCUGGUCUGUAACUGACACUGAGGCGCGAAAGCGUGGGGAGCGAACAGGAUUAGAUACCCCCGUAGUCC
rnacentral:rRNA from 1 species